rnacentral:lncRNA from 1 species
UGAGCCAGAUGUCUAUGUGUCAGGGGAGAAGCUCCAGGUGGUAUCUGAUUUUAAGUACCUUGGCAUCAUACUUGAUUCCAACCUCUCUUUUAAAAAGCAGGUGGAAAAGGUAAUUCAAAUAACCAAAUUCAACCUAGCUAAUUUCCGAUUUAUACGAAAUUGUUUGACUACAGAGGUAGCAAAACUGUACUUCAAAUCUAUGAUACUCCCCCACUUAACAUACUGCUUGACUAGUUGGGCCCAAGCUUGCUGUACAACAUUAAAACCCAUUCAGUCUGUCUACAAACAGGCUCUCAAAGUGCUUGAUAGGAAGCCCAAUAGCCAUCAUCACUGUUACAUCCUCAGAAAGCAUGAGCUCCUGAGUUGGGAAAAUCUUGUGCAAUAUACCGACGCAUGUCUUGUAUUCAAGAUCCUAAAUGGCCUGGCUCCCCCUCCACUCAGUAUUUUUGUUAAACAGAAAACCCAAACAUAUGGCAGCAGAUCCACAAGGUCUGCCAUGAGAGGUGACUGUAUAGUUCCCUUAAGGAAAAGCAUCUUUAGUAAAUCCACUUUCUCUGUGAGAGCGUCCCAUGUCUGGAAUACACUGCCAUCAGACACACAUAACUGCACCACAUAUCACACUUUCACAAAAUGCAUGAAGACAUGGCUAAAGGUCAAUCAGAUUUGUGAACAUAAUCCCUAGCUGUGUAUUGCCGCUUUCCAUGAUGUCUGUUUUCUGUAGCUUGUGAGGUGUGGAAACACUUUGUUGCUUUUAUGGACUUUGUCUUGUUGCUUUUUGUUCUAUGUUGCUCUGUCUGUAUGCUACAUCUUGCUUGUCCUAUGUUGCUCUGUUUGUAUGCUAUGUCUUGCUUGUCCUAUGUUUCUCUGCGUGUGCUCACAGCUCAAUGAUUGUCUAUAUUGUAAUUGUUAUUAAUAACCUGCCCAGGGACUGCGGUUGUAAAUUAGCCGGCUGGCUAAAACCGUCACUUUUACUGAAACGUUGAUUAAUGUGCACUGUCCCUGUAAAAAUAAACUCAAAACUCAACAAAGGAAGAGGCUCCAGUGUAAACAACCAGGCAUUGUGAAAUCACAUAGUGUGAAGGCUACUAUCAGGCCAUGUUAUGCAGUAUUGGUGAAAUUAUACUUAACAUUUACAUUUAAGUCAUUUACCAGACGCUCUUAUCCA